rnacentral:rRNA from 1 species
AGGGAAUAUUGGACAAUGGUUGCAAGACUGAUCCAGCCAUGCCGCGUGCAGGAAGAAGGCCUUCUGGGUCGUAAACUGCUUUUCUCUGGGGAUAAAAAGCCCGUGCGCGGGAAAUCGAAGGUACCAGAGGAAUAAGCCACGGCUAACUACGUGCCAGCAGCCGCGGUAAUACGUAGGUGGCAAGCGUUGUCCGGAUUUAUUGGGUUUAAAGGGUGCGUAGGCGGCCCUGUAAGUCAGUGGUGAAAUACGGCAGCUCAACUGUCGAGGUGCCAUUGAUACUGCGGGGCUUGAGUGUUGAUGAGGUAGGCGGAAUUGACGGUGUAGCGGUGAAAUGCUUAGAUAUCGUCAAGAACACCGAUAGCGAAGGCAGCUUACCAAGCAAUAACUGACGCUGAGGCACGAAAGUGCGGGGAUCAAAC